CACGUAGGCGGAUCAGAAAGUCAGAGGUGAAAUCCCAGGGCUCAACCUUGGAACUGCCUUUGAAACUCCUGAUCUUGAGGUCGAGAGAGGUGAGUGGAAUUCCGAGUGUAGAGGUGAAAUUCGUAGAUAUUCGGAGGAACACCAGUGGCGAAGGCGGCUCACUGGCUCGAUACUGACGCUGAGGUGCGAAAGCGCGGGGAGCAAACA
rnacentral:rRNA from 1 species